GGUGCCUCUGGUUUUGUGCCAGAGGGUAAAAGGGAAACAGGUGUAAAUCCUGUGCGAUCUCGUCACUGUAAUGGGAAAGGAUAAAGCAAAUGUGCUUCGGCACAGCCACUGACAACAUUGUUGGGAAGGCUGCUUUGUACGAUGAUCCCUGAGUCAGGAAACCUGCCGGUUAUUU
rnacentral:ncRNA from 1 species